UACGUAGGGUCCGAGCGUUGUCCGGAAUUACUGGGCGUAAAGAGCUCGUAGGUGGUUUGUCGCGUUGUUCGUGAAAACUCACAGCUCGACUGUGGGCGUGCGGGCGAUACGGGCAGACUAGAGUACUGCAGGGGAGACUGGAAUUCCUGGUGUAGCGGUGGAAUGCGCAGAUAUCAGGAGAAACACCGGUGGCGAAGGCGGGUCUCUGGGCCGAUACUGACGCUGAGGAGCGAAAGCGUGGGGAGCAAACAGG
rnacentral:rRNA from 1 species